GAUGAACGCUGGCGGCGUGCCUAAUACAUGCAAGUCGAGCGAACAGAUAAGGAGCUUGCUCCUUUGACGUUAGCGGCGGACGGGUGAGUUACACGUGGAUAACCUACCUAUAAGACUGGGAUAACUUCGGGAAACCGGAGCUAAUACCGGAUAACAUAUUGAACCGCAUGGUUCAAUAGUGAAAGGCGGCUUUGCUGUCACUUAUAGAUGGAUCCGCGCCGUAUUAGCUAGUUGGUAAGGUAACGGCUUACCAAGGCAACGAUACGUAGCCGACCUGAGAGGGUGAUCGGCCACACUGGAACUGAGACACGGUCCAGACUCCUACGGGAGGCAGCAGUAGGGAAUCUUCCGCAAUGGGCGAAAGCCUGACGGAGCAACGCCGCGUGAAUGAUGAAGGUCUUCGGAUCGUAAAACUCUGUUAUCUGGGAAGAACAAAUGUGUAAGUAACUGUGCACAUCUUGACGGUACCUGAUCAGAAAGCCACGGCUAACUACGUG
rnacentral:rRNA from 1 species